rnacentral:tRNA from 1 species
GGCCCCGUCGUCUAGUGGUUAGGACGUCAGGUUUUCAUCCUGAAUAUCGGCGGUUCGAAUCCGCCCGGGGUCA